rnacentral:misc_RNA from 1 species
AUCGAAAUUGAAGUCUACGAGUUUUUUUGGCAGAGAUGGUUUUCUUGUCCUGGGCUAAGCCUUCUCCUCAAGAGCAGAAGGAUUGCUUGAACAAGUUAGGUGCCUUCAACUAUAACCCAAAGUACAGNNNNNNCUGUAUCUUCCCUUAAAGAAGACCAUCAGCUCUCAGAAGAUGGCUUCUUACUAAACCAUGCCCGUGUGUUAGUUGGUUCUGGUCUUGAGACUUUUGAAAAGG